rnacentral:sRNA from 1 species
GAAGGAAGCCUUUGUCCACAAUUGGAGCUCUCCCGCACAGCGUAGAAGCCUUAGAGGCAGUGAGCUACCCAUCUUUGGAAGUGUUCAAAGGUAGAGGUGUUCCCUGGGAAAAGUGGCCUAGAUGGUCCCUGGGGACCUUCCCAGCCAGUAGGGUUUUCUGACCCUGCCUUCAUCCUACUCCUAGCUAUUUCUUGUUGCUCACAUCUCCUGAGGCCCAGGACCCUGGAGGGGAAGAAGAGGCAGAGAGCGCAGCCCGGCAGCCCCUCAUAAGAACCGAGGCCCCGGAGUCGAAGCCAGGCUCCAGCUCCAGCCUCUCCCUUCGGGAAAGGUGGACAGUGUUCAAGGUUCGGAUGAUGGCUGGGGUAUGUCCCUGUGGGGCUUGCUCACCUCCAGGCCCCCCGCUUAUAUCUUCUGCCUUUUCCAGGGUCUGCUGUGGUACAUUGUUCCCUUGGUCGUAGUUUACUUUGCCGAGUAUUUCAUUAACCAGGGACUUGUAAGUGAGGGGUGCUAGGAGGGGUGUGGAGGUGGCGAUUGGGGCUGGGACCCACACGGCCCCGUCCAUCUCCCCUGUCUGGUAUUUGUUGCAGUUUGAACUCCUCUUUUUCCGGAACACUUCCCUGAGUCACGCUCAGCAAUACCGCUGGUACCAGAUGCUGUACCAGGCUGGCGUCUUUGCCUCCCGCUCUUCUCUCCGCUGCUGUCGCAUCCGUUUCACCUGGGCCCUGGCCCUGCUGCAG